rnacentral:rRNA from 1 species
CCUACGGGGAGCAGCAGUGGGGAAUAUUGGGCAAUGGGCGCAAGCCUGACCCAGCAACGCCGCGUGAAGGAAGAAGGCUUUCGGGUUGUAAACUUCUUUUCGCAGGGACGAAGAAAGUGACGGUACUUGAGGAAUAAGCCACGGCUAACUACGUGCCAGCAGCCGCGGUAAUACGUAGGUGGCAAGCGUUAUCCGGAUUUAUUGGGUGUAAAGGGCGUGUAGGCGGGAGCGCAAGUCAGAUGUGAAAACUCAGGGCCCAACCCUGAGCCUGCAUUUGAAACUGUGUUUCUUGAGUGCUGGAGAGGCAGUCGGAAUGCCGGGUGUAGCGGUGAAAUGCGUAGAUAUACGGAGGAACACCAGUGGCGAAGGCGGAUUGCUGGACAGUAACUGACGCUGAGGCGCGAAAGCGUGGGGAGCAAACAGGAUUAGAUACCCUAGUAGUC